rnacentral:lncRNA from 1 species
GUGGGGGAAGGUUACAUCCAUGGCAUGCAGAAGUACCUGGGCUAGGGAUUGAACCAUACUCCAGCAGCAACCCUGAGCCAAUGCAGUGACAAUGCUGGAUCCUUAACCUGCUGAGCCACAACAGAACUCCUUUUUUUUUUUUUUUAUUUUGUCCUUUUAGGGCUGCACCUGCAGCAUAUGGAAGUUCCCAGGCCAGGGGUCAAAUCAGAACUGCAAUUGCUGGCCAACAUCACAGCCAUAUCAACGUGGGAUCUGAGCUGUGUCUACAUCCUACACUGCAGCUCAUGGCAAUGCUGGACCCUUACCCACUGAGUGAGGCCAGGGAUUGAACCCAUAUCUCAUGGAUACUAGUUGGGUUCCUUACCUCUGAACCACAAUAGGAACUCCAGGAACUCCUAUUUUAAACUCAUUAAAACAGUUUUUAAAAUGCCUCACUCAUGAGCGUGGCUUUGGGCCACCACCUAGACCAGUUCUCCUCUCUCUUGCCAUUACAAUAUUAAUAUGGCAAUAGUCUGGCUCACACAGACACAUGUAGAAGUGGCAACUGUUUUUUCUACUCUAUGGGCUACUUGGAAGUAACGCUGAGAAGAGAUGCCAAAAGGCUGUCAUGAUUUAGAAUAAAAUGGUCUCUGGUUCACUGAGUCUCUUCUUUUCAUCUCAAACAAAUAAAGGCUUUUCACUGAAGGAAAAUCACCAUGCUGCUUGCAUUCCAGUUGACUACUGAUGCUGUAUUUUCAUCACCUGAGAAUGAACUAAAAGUUCAUCUCAAAUGACUCAGAGUUCCCAUAAUCAAGUCUUUUCAUCCAACUCUCAAACUUCAGAGUUUUGCUGUGCAAUGGUUGACCUAUCAUUUUUUUUCCCCUCCCUCAAGGCUAAAUGCUCUGAUGUGUAAGCCAAUCUUGAUUGCAAAGGUGAGUGUUAAGUACUGCUUACCCUUGUUUUGGUGUCUUGUUUCCCCAUCACUGGAAAAAAAAAUUAAAAAGCAAACCUUGAGUUAGAAAACUCUGAGCCUUACCUAGGAUGGUAUACUUCCUUUGCAUAACAUGAUUGGUUUCUUUUAAAUUCUGCAUAAUUUAUUUUUUAAAUGUCACUGCAAAAUUGAUGAUUAACAUCAACAACAUAAAUUAAAAACCUAGUUUUCCCUAAUACAAAAAUACGUUGGAAAACUUUUAAUAGUGUUACAAUUAAAACAUGCAUAGUUCAGCAGAUCAAUAGAACAAAAAUAGACACAAAAACAUAAAGAAAUUAGUAUAUGUUAAGGUGGUAUUUUUCAAUCAAAAAUAAAAAUGGAUUAUUAAUAAUAAUAUGCAGCCAUCUGAAAAAAGGUAAAUUGAGAUCCCCACUUCCUAAAAUAAAUUUAUGACAGAUUAGUAAUUUAAAUAGAAAAGUGGAAAAGCACAAAAUUAUCAGACACAACCCUGGUUAAUUAAAAAAAAUUUUUAGAGGGAAGAAAACCCUUUUCUCUUUAUGACAUUCAAUUCAAAGGCCUUAAAAGAAGCAGUUGGUAAAUUCACAUACACUGAGAAAUGCAACAUAAUCCAAGUCAAAAGAUGAAUAAUAAACUGGGAACAACUCCAAUUCUUACCACAGAUAAGGGCCUUAUUUCCCUUAUGUAUAAAGUGACACAACUUUGAAAACAGCCCAAUAGCAAAGAAUACGGCAAUUCACAGGAAGGUAAAUACAAAUGACUUUUAGAGACUCAUGAAAAGAUGCUCGACCUCCUAAGAUACAUGUAAAUUAAAACCACAUGAGAUACCAUUUUUCACUUAUCAGAUUGGCAAAGACUAAGAAGUUUCAUAAUAUACUGUGUUGCAAGGAUGUAGAAAAUGUACUUUCAUACCUUGCUGGUGACAGUUUAUGUUUUAGCACAGCUUCUAUGGGAGACAUUUCGGGCAAUAUCUAUUACAGGUACAAAUGUGUACAUUACCUUUCAAUUGGUAAUUCCAUAUUUAGAACUUUAUCACAUGUGAGCAAAAUAAUGUAUGUACGAAGUUAUCCCCUGAAAAUUGUUGCAAAUAGCAAAAUCAAUAGGAAAGAGAUUCAACCAAAUAUGGAGUAUCUGUAAAAAGAAAUACUAUGUUGACCUGAAAAGUAUAAAAAUUUAGGAGAAACUGUACCUACAUGGAGGACUCUUGAGACAUGUUUAUAAGAAUAAAGCACGGUACAUAACAAUAUGUAAAGUAUGCUAUUUGUGAUUUUAAAAGGGGGAGGAUGUGAAAAUACACACACAUUCACUUUUUUAUAUAUGAACAAAUUAUCUCUGGAAGGAAAAACAGCGAUUGCCUCUGAAGAAGGUGUAUGUGGCCAGCAGCAGGAAUUGGGAGGCUUUGCAUUUUGUCCUUUUGCAUCUUUAAAACUCAAAACACAUACUAUCCAUUUGAAUUUUUUGUUUCGUUUUGUUUUGUUUUUUGUCCUUUUGCCUUUUCUAGGGCCACACCUGUGGCAUAUGGAGGUUCCCAGGCGGGUCUAAUCAGAGCAGUAGCCACCGGUCUACACCACAGCCACAGCAAUGAGGGAUCUGAGCCACAUCUGCGACCUACACCACAGCUCACGGCAAUGCCGGAUCCUUAACCCGCUGAGUGAGGCCAGGGAUCAAACCUGCAACCUUAUGAUUCCUAGUAGGGUUCGUUAACCACUGCGCCAUGACAGAAACUCCUGAAAAUUAUUUUUUAAUUCAGUAAAAUGGUUAAAGGCAGAGCUGAGGAAAUUCACCAGAAAACAGAAUAAUAAGACAAAGACCUAGAAAAUAGAAGAGAAAAGGUAAGAAAAUCAGAGGAUUGCUCCAGAAGGGCCAACAUUUGAAAAUAGGAAUUUAAUGACGAGCAAAGUCAGAAAGUUAUCAAAGAUAAUUCAAAAAAUUUUCCAGGAGUUCCCGUCGUGGCGCAGUGGUUAACAAUCCGACUAGGAACCAUGAGGUUGCGGGUUCGGUCCCUGCCCUUGCUCAGUGGGUUAACGAUCCGGCGUUGCCGUGAGCUGUGGUGUAGGUCGCAGACGCGGCUUGGAUCCCACGUUGCUGUGGCUCUGGCCUCUGAUGAGACCCCCAGCCUGGGAACCUCCACAUGCCAUGGGUGUGGCCCAAGAAAAUACAAAAAGACAAAAUAUGUAUACCUUAAUCCCAACUUCUAAUUUAUCACCUCUCCCCCCACCCCUGGCAGUUUCCCCUUUGGUAACCAUAAGUUUGAUUUUGAAAUCUGUGGAUUUGUUUCUCAUUUAUAAAUAAGUUCUUUUGUAUCAUUUUUUUAAUUAGAUUCCACACAGAAGUGAUCUCAUACAGUAUUUCUCUUUCUGUGUCUGACUUACUUUACUUAGCAUGAUAAUCUUUAGGUCCUUCCAUGUUGCUGCAUAUGGCAUUAUUUUGUUCUUUUUAUGACUGAGUAAUAUUCCAUUUGUGUGUGUGUGUGUGUGUGUGUGUGUGUGUGUGUGUGUGUGUGUCUAACAUUUCUCAUACAGCCAUAUGAUAUUCAAUAUAGUCCACACAGGAAAAGCAAUGAUGGACUAAGCUUCACUGCCAACAUAAUAAAACCCAUAUUGCAAACAGCACUAAAAUGCAGUCCAUGUUUUUUAGGUUACUGGUGCUGGUACUGCCUACCUGUGAUUUGGGUACACAAGCAUUAGUUGGCUGAACCAUCCUUGGGAGAAAUUCUUCAGACACAAGGCCAGAGUAGACACACUCCUUAAAGAGUUUGGGAUUUUUCAGGUUUUCUCAUUAACUUUGUAAUUUUUAUAAUUUUAAAGUGGCUAAAACCACAAAACAAAAUAAGAAUUCCCAGUACUGUUGUGUUUUCCAGUACCUCAUUCUUUUGAGAGGUAAAGUCAGGGAUGUGUGUGAGCUUGUAUGCAGAACUUGAUUAAAAGCAACUUGAAUAGGAAGCUGAACUAAUUUGCAAGAACUAAUGGCUUUAGGUAAUCAGAUUUUUAAAACAAACUGAAACUACUGAUCCUCUGGGUAACAAAUUCAAUUUGUUAAAAAACCAGCUGUGUUGUUACUAAGAGUCACUUUUAAAUCCCCAUUUUCAGUUCUAAUGCACAAGUAGCAACCCUGAGAGCAGGGAAAUUGGCACAAGCCUU